rnacentral:lncRNA from 1 species
AGAAAGCCCGUCACAGGGCGGGUCUCCUCCCACUCCUCUUUGAACUUCCAGGCUGGAGGGAGUGGCCAGGGCUGUCCGCCACGUCCAGGGAGACCUGACCCUGGCCAUCUGAGGGCCAUCGUGUGCUGGCCACCCCGCCCCGUGUCAUCUCCGACGAGGCCCACGCGGCCCAGGAGGCAGGUGGCAGAGCGAGGCUCAGGGCUCACUUGCAAGAGGAAAGCAGAGCCCGUGUGUGAGCCGGGAACCCAAGGUGCCAGGGAGGCACAGAUUCUUAGAGUCCACGGGAGGCCCCUUGCUGACCGGGUGAGGCUACCCAGAGAAGCCGUCUCAGCAGGGAGGCCCAGGUGAGAGGCCAGCACCUGAGCUUCCUAUAAGAAGUGUCCCCCACCCCGUGAUGAUCCGUCUGAGCCCCCGCUGGAUCCAGCAGGCCCCACGACACUC